UACGAAGGGUGCAAGCGUUAAUCGGAAUUACUGGGCGUAAAGCGUGCGCAGGCGGUUGUGCAAGACAGAUGUGAAAUCCCCGGGCUCAACCUGGGAAUUGCAUUUGUGACUGCACGGCUAGAGUGUGUCAGAGGGGGGUAGAAUUCCACGUGUAGCAGUGAAAUGCGUAGAGAUGUGGAGGAAUACCGAUGGCGAAGGCAGCCCCCUGGGAUAACACUGACGCUCAUGCACGAAAGCGUGGGGAGCAAACAGG
rnacentral:rRNA from 1 species